rnacentral:rRNA from 1 species
GAUGAACGCUGGCGGCGUGCUUAACACAUGCAAGUCGAACGAAGCGCUUUACCGGAUUUCUUCGGAAUGAAAGUUUUGUGACUGAGUGGCGGACGGGUGAGUAACGCGUGGGUAACCUGCCUCAUACAGGGGGAUAACAGUUAGAAAUGACUGCUAAUACCGCAUAAGACCACAGGACCGCAUGGCCCAGUGGUAAAAACUCCGGUGGUAUGAGAUGGACCCGCGUCUGAUUAGCUAGUUGGUAAGGUAACGGCUUACCAAGGCGACGAUCAGUAGCCGACCUGAGAGGGUGACCGGCCACAUUGGGACUGAGACACGGCCCAAACUCCUACGGGAGGCAGCAGUGGGGAAUAUUGCACAAUGGGGGAAACCCUGAUGCAGCGACGCCGCGUGAGCGAUGAAGUAUUUCGGUAUGUAAAGCUCUAUCAGCAGGGAAGAAAAUGACCGKUACCCU